UACAUACGACAUAACAUUAUUUGGUACGACUUGGGAUGCCAAUCAAACACAAUAUGCAAUGCCAUAAACGGUUUGAGUGGUCCCCCAGUACCUGUGGUCGGUAGAAGAGCGGUCAAGGUUAGAGAAACUGACCCCGAUUCAUUCAACCUUGACUUUGAUCUAGAGGACGAUGGUAGAAUUCCAGUUUGUGAAUCAUGUUGUAACGCUACGACCUGCAAUAAUGGAGGAGCCUGCGGAGUUUCAGACUUUGACUAUCACAAUGGUCGCCUUUGCUUUGAGUGUGAUCAGCAGUUAAGUCCAGAAAACUGUGACCAAGUUACCUUGUGUGACCAAGACAGGUUUUGUUAUAUACACCAAAAGAUAUCAGAAGUCGGACUCAUUCGAAUAUAUCAAUCAGGGUGUUCCAAAACAAUACAGAACUGCACGCAGUCAAUCGGCAACAUUUGUAACAAUUGUUGUCAAGAUAAUUUGUGUAACAACAAGUGCACAAUUCAAAAACCUCAGCAUCAUAUGACCACUACAACCACAACUACGACGACAACAACUCCAAGACCAACAACUACAACACCGACAACGACAACCACAACACCGACAACAACUACAACAACUACAACACCGACAACAACAACUACGACACCUACGACAACAACUACGACUCCAACAACUACAACCACUACUCCAACAACAACUACCACAAGAGCUCCAAGACCACCAGUAAUAUUAUCCACAGAAGUACAACCCACUAAUUAUCAUUAUGGUGAUGACGUGGAGCUCAUCUGUAGAGUGGAGAGCAACCCUCCAUCUGAUCAGCUUGGAUGGAAUAUGAUGACUGAUCCCAGCAAAAUUCCAGCCAAUAUCAAUUUAGUGUAUGGUACAGACAUGGUAAAGAUACACAUUAAUCACCUAAGGGCCGAGAACAUAGCGCAGUAUCAGUGUUUUGUACACAAUUCCCUUGGUCAAGACGUUCAAAAGUUCUCACUUCAUCCACCCAAAUAAGGAGUUUUUUUAUGUAUCGAGAAUAAAUUAUGUUUGUUU
rnacentral:misc_RNA from 1 species